GGCAGUAUUUGGUAGUUCCAAUUAAUAUUCAUA
rnacentral:sRNA from 12 species